rnacentral:lncRNA from 1 species
GCAGGUCAUGAGAUCGAGCCCCGUGUCGGGUUCUGCGCUGACAGCAUGGGGACUGCUUGGGCUUCUGUCUGUCUCCCUCUCUCUCUGUCCCUCCCCUGCAGGCGCUCGUUCUCUCUCUCUCCCUCAAAAUAAAUGAAUACACAUUAAGAAAAAUAAAGUACCUCUCCUCAAAGGAAAUGGUGGAAAGCUUUGCUGGAUGCCACAUUUGCCCAAUGGCCAUCAUGGCAGCUGGUGAUGCAGAUGGGUUAAAUUCUUCUGCUAAAAAUUGUGGCAUGCAAAUUAUAUUCACAUAGGGCGUAUACGUACUUUUUAAUCAGAAAGAAUAAUACCAACUGCCUGGCAUUCAAUGGUUGAAGUAGGACAGGAGUCUACACACGUAUUAGUUUCUCAAGUCAAAAAUUUAAAAGUCGGGGCGCCUGGGUGGCGCAGUCGGUUAAGCGUCCGACUUCAGCCAGGUCACGAUCUCGCGGUCCGUGAGUUCGAGCCCCGCGUCAGGCUCUGGGCUGAUGGCUCGGAGCCUGGAGCCUGUUUCCGAUUCUGUGUCUCCCUCUCUCUCUGCCCCUCCCCCGUUCAUGCUCUGUCUCUCUCUGUCCCCAAAAUAAAUAAAAACGUUGAAAAAAAAUUAAAAAAAAAAUUUAAAAGUCAAGAAAGUAGAAGGCCCGUGCUGUGUACAAGGAAUUUCUUGCGUAGUUUGAAUAACUGGGUUGUAGAGAGUCAUUGCAAGAGAGAAGCUUCAACCAUUUAUUUCUUCGUGCCAUCAGCCGUGGCUCCGACAUGCAUCGUCGCCUGUUUGUUACGAGUUCCGUUGUGUUGUCUCUACAAGGUGUGGCCGUGGAAUUUACACCUUGCCGGAGGAGAGCUCUUUCGGCUCCAUCAGAAGGAGCAUCCAACCAACGAUUUGGAGAAUUUCGUGUCUCAUCCACCUGGAAGCUGGAGGGCACAGCAGGUCCGCGGGGAGCCGUCACCUCCACAGCAGAGCCCCCGAGAGGUCAGUCAGACAGAGACUGAGAUUCGGCUUCUAGCACAUUAAAG